rnacentral:rRNA from 1 species
GUGAGGAAUUUUCCGCAAUGGGCGAAAGCCUGACGGAGCAAUGCCGCGUGAAGGAUGAAGGCCUAUGGGUUGUAAACUUCUUUUCUCAGAAAAGAAUUAUGACGGUAUCUGAGGAAUAAGCAUCGGCUAACUCUGUGCCAGCAGCCGCGGUAAGACAGAGGAUGCAAGCGUUAUCCGGAAUGAUUGGGCGUAAAGCGUCUGUAGGUUGUUUAAAAAGUAUUCUGUCAAAGAUUAGGGCUUAACCCUAGAUAGGCAGAAUAAACUUUUAAGCUAGAGUUUGGUAGAGGCGGAGGGAAUUCCCGGUGGAGCGGUGAAAUGCGUAGAUAUCGGGAGGAACACCAAAGGCGAAGGCACUCUGCUGGGCCAAUACUAACACUGAGAGACGAAAGCGAGGGGAGCAAAUGUGAUUAGAAACCCUAGUAGUCC